CAGACAGAAAACAUCCUUUCUAAACAUCUUUCUUUCUUUCUUUCUUUCUUUCUUUCUUUCUUUCUUUCUUUCUUUCUUUCUUUCUUUCUUUGUUCUUUCUCUCUCUCUUUCUUUCCUUCCUUCUUUCUUCUUUCUAUAUCUUUACUUCCUUCCUUUCAUUUUCUUUUCCUUCUUCCUCCCUCCCUCUUUCUUUUUCUUUUCUUUAUUUUUGGAGACAGAGUUUCACUUUGUAGCCAUGGCUAUCCUGACACUGUCUUUGUAGAUCACACUUACCUGAAACUCAUAGAGAUCUGCCUGCUGCUGUCUCUGAAGUGCUGGGGUUAAAGGUGUGUGCCACGUCUUUUCAAUACAACUUUCGAUUUUAUGGUCACGUUAAAAUGUUACUAAUUGAUGAAUAAAAUUAACUAAACAAUUAGUUGAAAAGCAAGAAACUGGAUGUUGUUUUUAAGUAUCAGAGAGAUAUGAUGGCCACAGAAGAGAGGAAGAAAGGUAUAGGAGUGGAAAAAAUUAAGUAACUUUGGCUACAUAAGCCUCAAUUAAUUAUAAAGUGGUUAAAAACAGUUUCCUAAUUCCAUCCCAUCUGGGACAUCUGAAAGCCACCCUUUCAGAAGGUCACAUCCUGUAGGCAAUAUGGUGGACUUCUUUUUGCUUACAUAGAAAAUGCAUUACCCACUGCAACACCUUUCUGCUUUCCCUCUGAUCCCGUCACACAAACGGUAAACUGAUAAGAGCUUGGCCUGUAAGUCCCAAACUGUGAGGGAAUGGCUCUCCAUUGCUGCAAGCUACUGGUUUUCUGUGGUAGCAGCAGUGGAAACUAACACAGACAGAGACUCCGAAUAGCCUGUACAACCUGAGUGGCUCUGUGAGGAACAUCAGACCAUCCUAGCUGAGGGUCUGUCUUAUACAGACAGCAAGGGAUAGCCGCUGCAGCUCGGCAGCUAAGAGCACAUUUGCUUCCCAGCACCCACACGGCAGUUCACAGUUGUCUGCAAGUCCCAUCAGACUUAAUAUCCUGCUCCGAUUUCCAUACAUACCAGGUACUCAUGUGGACAUGGAAACACACGCAGGCAAAGCGCUUACACACAUUUAAAAAAAAUCCUUUAAAAAAAAAUCACACCAGCUUUAUGUGCUUUCCUGAGGAGAAAGGCUUUAAAUACAAAUAUGUUUUUCAGACCAAAUGCCCACUUACAUUUUCAUAGUAUUUAUAGUGUUUCUUUGAGGGCUAACUAGUGUGUAAUUAUUUUGUAACAUACUUAAUGAGUAUUUGAAAUAAAAGUUUGUGUUUCAGCUACACAUAUAUGUAAUACAAGGGACCACUUGAGUAUCUUUGUUUAACUUGGCACAUGAUUCAAAUAUUAUAUUAGCCUUUAAUAUCUAUAAUUCAGUGGGUUUUUUAAUACACCCACAAAUUCAGGUGGCCAUCACUCCCAAUUUGAGAAUACUUCUCUUGGCUCCUACUCUGUACGCUCCAUAGCUGGGAUCACACACUGUCAUCUGGCUGCUUGGUGCAGGUAAUCCGUUUUCUGUCUCCAUGGCUUCGCCUAUUCCUAAUGUUCCAAACACACAGACUCACACAGUCUGUGCCCUCUUGUGACUGAGUUCUUCUUAACGACAAGUGUGUUUGAGAAUGUGCCACGUUCCUUUCUAGGGCUGAUUCACACUCUUCGUAUUUCAGGAGGACCGAAUCUCUCUCUCAGCAUAUGGACAUGUGGCUUUGAGGAGUAAGACGAUCUGUUAACACUCCUGGCCUGAGAGGUUUCUUCCAGCUUGCAGUAAGGACCUUCCUUUCAACAUGUUCCUGCCUGGUGUUCAGCUGUGCCUCACUCCGAAAGCCUCGAGAUAGCUCAACCCCAAAUAAAUCCCCUGAAAGCAGGAGCCGACGGGACACUUGCAUGUGUAUGGAUACGUAAGCAACUAGUACAGCCAGUCAGCCAUUUUAUACGAAGUGUAAUGUGUAUGUUUAUGUCUCACAAAGCCUUAAAACCAGGUCCUCGAGUUUACAAAAUGUUUUUUGGCACUCUUUUUUUUUUUUUUUUUUUUUUGCAAUUAAGAUGCAGGAUAUUAAAUAAAUUAUUUUCAACAGGAUCAAAAA